GUUUGAUCAUGGCUCAGGACGAACGCUGGCGGCGUGCCUAACACAUGCAAGUCGAGCGGGAACCUCAUGAGGGGUAACCCUUGUGAGGGGAGAGCGGCGAACGGGUGAGUAACACGUGGGCAACCUGCCCCGGACACCGGGAUAACCCAGGGAAACCUGAGCUAAUACCGGAUACUCCGGCGUGAUCGCAUGGUCGCGCCGGGAAAGCUCCGACGGUCCGGGAUGGGCCCGCGGCCUAUCAGCUUGUUGGUGGGGUAACGGCCCACCAAGGCGACGACGGGUAGCUGGUCUGAGAGGACGGCCAGCCACACUGGGACUGAGACACGGCCCAGACUCCUACGGGAAGCAGCAGUGGGGGAUCUUGCGCUAAUGCGCCAAAGCGUGACGCAGCGACGCCGCGUGGGGGAUGAAGGCCUUCGGGUUGUUAACCCCUUUCGGCAGGGACGAAGGGAAACUGACGGUACCUGCAGAAGAAGUCCCGGCUAACUACGUGCCAGCAGCCGCG
rnacentral:rRNA from 1 species